rnacentral:rRNA from 1 species
GAUGAACGCUGGCGGCGUGCUUAACACAUGCAAGUCGAACGGAAAGGCCCAAGCUUGCUUGGGUACUCGAGUGGCGAACGGGUGAGUAACACGUGGGUGACCUGCCCUGCACUUUGGGAUAAGCCUAGGAAACUGGGUCUAAUACCGGAUAGGACGAUGGCUUGGAUGGCAUUGUGGAAAGUUUUUUCGGUGUGGGGUAAGCUCGCGGCCUAUCAGCUUGUUGUUGGGGGAAUGGCGUACCACGGCGUCGUCGCGGAGCCGGCAUGAGAGUGUGUACGGACACAUUGGGACUGGGAGACAGCCCAGAGUCCGACAGGAGGGAGCAGUGGGGAAAAUUUUACAAUGGGGGCAAGCGUGAUGCAGCGACGCCGCGUGGGGGGUGAGGGCCUUUGGGGUGUAAAAACCUCUCGCUAGGGACAAAGCGUUUUUGUGACGGUACCUGGAGAAGAAGCACCGGCUAACUACGUG